GUUUCCGUGGCCGAGGGAGUUUCCGUGGCCGAGCGUCCGGGAGCCGGCCUGGCUCGCACGCUCCACCCGAGCGGGCACCGAGCGCCCUUAGCAGCCGCAACAGCCCGCAGUCACACGGUGGGAGCACAUUUCCUUCCGCCUCCAGACGUCGUGCAACUGUUCUUCAGGAAAAGCGGCAAGGAAAGGGUUAAAAGUGUGUUUAAUUCCCUAAUGCAAGGGUCAAACUCAAAGCAUCCCUUCUCGCUUUUUCACAGAAAUCCCUUUCUAAAGUUUUCCUAAUGUCUCAGCCUUAGAUGUCGGCCGUUGUGCUUUUAGUACAUUUUAGCACAUCUCUGGAAAUGUUUAAAACACGCAGGGAAAUUAAUGACCCCUGUUUCCCUGACCACUGCCUCUCAAAUAACCGCAGAACAAUUGCAGUCUGUGCUUGCAUGUGCUCUCCAGCGAGGGUCUGUCAGUUGUGUUUGUUGUGAGAGUCACGUUGCUUCAGGAAUUUUUAUGCCAGCAUUUAGUAAAUGGCAAAAUAAAACAAGUUCACUUAAGAAUACAAAUGGACAUUGUUCACACACGCACACACACACACACACGUUUUGAUUCUCUGUUCAGCAGACUUGGAACGAAAAGAUUUUGAAAGGAAGUUUUCUUCGACGAGUGUUUGGAUACUCAUUGCAAGGUUAACAGUUUCCUACUGACUCAAAAGGAAACAAACAGCGGUGGACUAAGAAAUUAAAAUUGCAUUCUCUAUGUAUGCUGACCAUGAUGAGACUUCCUUAAGUGACGAUGCGAUAAAAGCCCUUUCCAGUAUGCACAUCAGAAAAAAGAAAAACCUCCCAUAACUAGAAAUUGCACAGAAAACAAACCAAGGGUCUCAUUUUGUUCCGUCACUGAUAACAAGUCCUCAGAUCCCAAGGGCUGGAAUUUUGGUUGAUUCAGUUACAGUAGCCCAAACUCAGCGUCUCACGGUAUGGGUUUUUCCCAUCGUGAAUUUUCUCCACGGGCUGAGAACUAAAUUCUGUGUCAUGUUUCACAUUAUUCCAGAGACUCACACCGGUCACAAAUCUUAUUUCUUCUUGCAUCCUUUGAAGGGAGCCGCAAAGUUUGGAGUUUGGAAGCUGGGCUGUUGCUGGCCGUUUUCCGUUUUCUGGAAGUUAGCAUACACGCACUUUCUCGUGCUUUUUGAAAAUGGAUCCUCCCUCUGGCUUAUUUGUGUAAAUGUUUAAUUGCCUUAAUGUUGUGCCCUGUACAGCCAAGUUUUAAGUUUCUGUGGAAGAGUGCAAAGUUGCUGUAAUUACUGGCUGCAGGAAUAAAUCCUUCACCAUCAGAGAGGAAACUCUCCUAUCGCCAGCAACUGUAAGCAAUUAAAAAUUCUUUCAAG